rnacentral:rRNA from 1 species
AAUGAACGCUGGCGGCGUGCUUAACACAUGCAAGUCGAACGAUGAAGAUGCUGCUUGCAGCAUUGGAUUAGUGGCGCACGGGUGAGUAAUAUAUAGAUAAUGUGCCUCUUAGUCUGGGAUAGCCAUUGGAAACGAUGAUUAAUACUAGAUACUCCUUCUCUUUAUAAUGAGAGUUGGAAAGUUUUCGCUAAGAGAUCAGUCUAUAUCCCAUCAGUUAGUUGGUAGGGUAAUGGCCUACCAAGACAAUGACGGGUAGCGGGUUUGAGAGGAUGAUCCGCCACACUGGUACUGAGACACGGACCAG